CUACGGGCCGCACCAGCUAAGAAUCUUCCGCAAUGGACGAAAGUCUGACGGAGCGACACCGCGUGAGUGAAGAAGGCGGAAACGUUGUAAAGCUCUUUUAUGGAUGAGGAAUAAGCCUGGGAGGGAAUGCCCGGGUGAUGACGUUAGUCCAUGAAUAAGCCCCGGCUAAUUACGUGCCAGCAGCCGCGGUAACACGUAUGGGGCGAGCGUUGUUCGGAAUUACUGGGCGUAAAGGGCGCGUAGGCGGUUAUGCAAGUCUGGUGUGCAAGACCACAGCUCAACUGUGGGAACGCACUGGAAACUGUGUGACUUGAGUAGCGGAGGGGGAGUUGGAAUUCCUAGUGUAGGGGUGAAAUCUGUAGAUAUUAGGAAGAACACCAGCGGCGAAGGCGAACUCCUGGCCGAUUACUGACGCUGAGGCGCGAAAGCGUGGGGAGCGAACAGGAUUAGAUACCCCAGUAGUC
rnacentral:rRNA from 1 species